rnacentral:rRNA from 1 species
AGAGUUUGAUCCUGGCUCAGGACGAACGCUGGCGGCGUGCCUAACACAUGCAAGUCGAACGGAGAUAUUAGAUGAAGCUUGCGAUUCUAGUAUUUUAGUGGCGGACGGGUGAGUAACGCGUGGGUAACCUGCCCAUAAGUGGGGAAUAACAGUUGGAAACGACUGCUAAUACCGCAUAAUCUGAGCGAUCAGAAAAGGUGGCCUCUUAACAAUGCUACUGCUUAUGGAUGGGCCCGCGUCUGAUUAGCUGGUUGGUGGGGUAAAGGCCUACCAAGGCGACGAUCAGUAGCCGGCCUGAGAGGGUGGACGGCCACACUGGGACUGAGACACGGCCCAGACUCCUACGGGAGGCAGCAGUGGGGAAUAUUGCGCAAUGGGGGAAACCCUGACGCAGCGACGCCGCGUGAGCGAAGAAGGCCUUCGGGUUGUAAAGCUCUGUUUUAAGGGACGAACGUUCAUGGUAGUAACUGGCUAUGAAAUGACGGUACCUUAAGAGGAAGCCCCGGCUAACUACGUGCCAGCAGCCGCGGUAAGACGUAGGGGGCGAGCGUUGUCCGGAAUUACUGGGCGUAAAGAGCACGUAGGCGGGAACUUAAGUCAGGUGUGAAAGACCGGGGCUCAACUCCGGGGUGGCACUUGAAACUGGGUUUCUUGAGGGCAGGAGAGGGAAGCAGAAUUCCUGGUGUAGCGGUGAAAUGCGUAGAAAUCAGGAGGAAUACCAGUGGCGAAGGCGGCUUUCUGGACUGACCCUGACGCUGAGGUGCGAAAGCGUGGGUAGCAAACAGGAUUAGAUACCCUGGUAGUCCACGCUGUAAACGAUGGAUACUAGGUGUAGGAGGUAUCGACCCCUUCUGUGCCGCAGCUAACGCAAUAAGUAUCCCGCCUGGGGAGUACGAUCGCAAGGUUGAAACUCAAAGGAAUUGACGGGGGCCCGC